rnacentral:rRNA from 1 species
UUUCGCAAUGCCCGAAAGGGUGACAAAGCGACGCCGCGUGCGGGAAGAAGGCCUUCGGGUUGUAAACCGCUGUCGGGAGUUAAGAAAUGCAAGGAUGUGAAUAGUAUCUUUGCUUGACUAAGGCUCCGGAGGAAGCCACGGCUAACUCUGUGCCAGCAGCCGCGGUAAUACAGAGGUGGCAAGCGUUGUUCGGAAUUAUUGGGCGUAAAGAGCACGUAGGCGGCUAUGUAAGUCGGUUGUGAAAGCCUUCCGCUCAACGGGAGAACAGCAUCCGAUACUGCAUGGCUUGAGUGCGGGAGGGGAGAGUGGAACUUCUGGUGGAGCGGUGAAAUGCGUAGAUAUCAGAAGGAACGCCGGCGGCGAAAGCGGCUCUCUGGCCCAUAACUGACGCUGAGUGUGCGAAAGCUAGGGGAGCAAACGGGAUUAGAUACCCCGGUAGUCCUAGCCGUAAACGAUGGGCACUAAGUAGAGGGGUUUUA